ensembl:snoRNA
AUCCUUUUCUGGUUCAUAAGCAUAAUGAUUGGGUGCUCGUACAUUUGUAUGACAUGUGCCUCCCUUAAAUCUUGUUACGCAUUUGGCACUUCACCUAUCUGAUG